GGGCAACCUUCUGCCUCUCCCAUGGUUCUUUGUGACACUGACUGUGACUGUUUUCUCCAUGCACACUCUGUCUUUGGAUAAUGGGGUUGCUAUCCUGUUUUUCAUAUCAGGAUUCUCCUCUUCUGCUCGUGUGUUUAUGGAAAACCAGCUCUCUACCGGGCUGUGUCUGGGGAAGUAGCUUUGGCCUCAGCCAAGCAGAGCCGAGUCACAGAGAGCAGUUCCAGGGCCAGGCGAAGUGAAUUCAAGCCCCUGGCUGGGGGAAGCGUUCGUUGGCCAUUUCUGGGAAAGAAUUCUUGAGGACCCCCACCCCACACGUUUCGAAAGGAGACAUAAUCAGCAAACGGCUCGAAAAGCAGCUAACUUAAGAGUAAAUAACGAUCAAGAGGUACCAUGGAAGAGACAAUGUCCUGUUGGCCAGCACAAUUAAAAUCAAUAUCACUGGUAAGAAAAUGAUAUAUCCACUGUGAAUGACUUUGGAAUGGUUUCUGUCAGGGCCCUUGCUUGUGAUUAAAGCUAAGGACGAAAAAU
rnacentral:lncRNA from 1 species